GCGGUUAAAAAGCUCGUAGUUGGAUCUCGGCAGGCAGGGGGUGGUUCGCUCUUCAGCGCUACUGCCCCAUUUGCCUGUGUGAUUGGCGGAGGUUUCGGGGUGCCCUUCAUUGAGUGACCCGGGGCGCCGUCAGGUUUACUUUGAAAAAAUUAGAGUGCUCAAAGCAGGCUUUCACGCUUGAAUAUUCGUGCAUGGAAUAAUGGAAUAGGAACUCGUUUCUAUUUUGUUGGUUUUCGGAAAUCGAGUUAAUGAUUAAUAGGGACAAUUGGGGGCAUUAGUAUUCAGACGACAGAGGUGAAAUUCUUGGACCGUCUGAAGACUAACUACUGCGAAAGCAUUUGCCAAGAGUGUUUUCAUUAAUCAAGAACGAAAGUUAGAGGUUCGAAGGCGAUCAGAUACCGCCCUAGUUCUAACCAUAAACGAUGCCAGCUAGCGAUCUGCCGAGUUAUUUUUGUAGGCUCUGCAGGAAGCUUUCGGGAAACCAAAGCUUUUGGGUUCCGGGGGAAGUAUGGUUGCAAAGCUGAAACUUAAAGGAAUUGACGGAAGGGCACCACCAGGAGUGGAGCCUGCGGCUUAAUUUGACUCAACACGGGAAAUCUCACCAGGCCCGGACACUGGAAGGAUUGACAGAUUGAGAGCUCUUUCUCGAUUCGGUGGGUGGUGGUGCAUGGCCGUUCUUAGUUGGUGGAGUGAUUUGUCUGGUUUAUUCCGAUAACGAACGAGACUCUGUCCCUGCUAAUAGUUGGCGUGUCCUUUGUGCACGUCAA
rnacentral:rRNA from 1 species